rnacentral:rRNA from 1 species
CGUGUAGGCGGCCGAUCAAGUCCGGUGUGAAAGCCCGAGGCUCAGCUUCGGAAGUGCAUCGGAAACUAACCGGCUCGAGCGCGAUAGAGGAGGGUGGAAUUCCUGGUGUAGCGGUGAAAUGCGUAGAUAUCAGGAGGAACACCGGCGGCGAAGGCGGCCCUCUGGAUCGUUGCUGACGCUGAGACGCGAAAGCGUGGGGAGCAAACAGGAUUAGAUACCCUGGUAGUCCACGCUGUAAACGAUGGGUACUAGGUGUUCGGGGUGUUGACCCCCUGAGUGCCGACGCUAACGCAUUAAGUACCCCGCCUGGGACUACGGCCGCAAGGUUAAA